rnacentral:lncRNA from 10 species
GAGCGGGCGAGCGAGAGACGGGGGGAGAGAGAGGGACACGCGCGCGCACACACACACACACCGGCACACACGCACACACACAGACACACACACACAGAGUGAAAAAGGCGAGCCACCAAAACCCAUCUCCAGUCUCCUCCCGGGGGCCCCCAGCCCGCCUCUGUGCCACUUUGCAUCCCACGCCGGAGGAGGCAUUAACGAGACCGGUGCUGCAUUCUUACAACCCUAAAAUCCAUCUGCUCUUAACACACCGUCAAAAAGAGGGGGAAAUGCAUCUCCGAGGGAGUGCUCGAGAGAAGAUAAUGGAAUGGUCUGAUGUAAUCCCAUACAAAUUAUUCCUCAUGAUGUGAAAAUGCUUUUACAGGGACCUGGGAGAUUUCUAAACUGAGUGCUGUGCUGGCCAUUGGUGACCCAAAGAUGAUGAAAAAUAUGUUCCUGCCCACAAGGAGUUAGCGACCUACUGGGGUUUUUCUCAGAAAUUACGUACUCUACGGCUGCCCAUCCUAUUCAAGAAUGAGGCAAUAGAAAAGCAUUUGCAAAAGUUAGUUACAAAUGUGGGGCUUGACGUUGAGCUAA